UUCCCAGACUCCUACGGGAGGCAGCAGUGGGGAAUAUUGGGCAAUGGGCGCAAGCCUGACCCAGCAACGCCGCGUGAAGGAAGAAGGCUUUCGGGUUGUAAACUUCUUUUAUCAGGGACGAAGCAAGUGACGGUACCUGAUGAAUAAGCCACGGCUAACUACGUGCCAGCAGCCGCGGUAAUACGUAGGUGGCAAGCGUUAUCCGGAUUUACUGGGUGUAAAGGGCGUGUAGGCGGGAGUGCAAGUCAGAUGUGAAAACUAUGGGCUCAACCCAUAGCCUGCAUUUGAAACUGUACUUCUUGAGUGCUGGAGAGGCAAUCGGAAUUCCGUGUGUAGCGGUGAAAUGCGUAGAUAUACGGAGGAACACCAGUGGCGAAGGCGACUUUCUGGACUGUACCUGACGCUGAGGCGCGAAAGCGUGGGUAGCGAACGGGAUUAGAUACCCCGGUA
rnacentral:rRNA from 1 species